AACGCACAUUGCGCCCGCCAGCAUUCUGGCGGGCAUGCCUGUUCGAGCGUCAUUUCAACCCUCAGGCCCUGCCUGGUGUUGGAGGACUGCGCAUGCAGCCUCCCAAAGACAGCGGCGGCGGCGCCCCAAAACCGAACGCAGUAGUUACUUCUCGUUCUGGGUCUGGGUCGUUGUCCUGCCGGAAAACCCCCCUCUUUUACAUGGUUGACCUCGAAUCAGGUAGGAAUACCCGCUGAACUUAA
rnacentral:misc_RNA from 1 species